CUGCCCUGCAUUCCUCCAACUAACUUGCACAUGUGAUUUUUUCAAUUCCCAUGAAAUCCCUGAGAGUUACUAUAACUCUACUCUACAGGUAUGGGGAAAUUGAGGUUUGAAGAGUGCUAUGGCUCCAGUUACUGCUCCCAGGAUUACUCUCAUCUGCUGGAUUCUCCAAGAAUGCUGAGAGCCAGGCUAGGGUACUCUCCAACGGAAAGAGAAUAACCCAGUGUACCUUCCAACUAGCAGGACAAAAUGAGAAGAUAUGAGAGAACUAUCUAAGCUUUAGAGCUUGGCUCUCUCUAGCCUAGCAGUCAUUUUGGAUGGGAUCUAAGGAUGAGAGUGUCAAAGAAGCUGAAGUGUCAGAUCCCACUUGGUCAUAAUGACUUUUCUGGUUAAAGAAGGUAUGACAGACUCCAAGGAGGGACUAUUGCCAGACCUAACCAGGUCAUCAGUAUCUACAGGAGAGUCACUUCCAGGAUCAGUUACAUCUACACACUGGCACACUUGGAAUGUUUAAGUUAUCUGUCUAUUACAAAACAACUUAAGUCAACAUUACUGACAGACAAUGCAUGGCCGGGUUAACAUACUUUCAAGAAGGUCAACGUUGUGUGCAUGGAAAAUUAAGACAAUUAAGAAUGAAACACAAGUGCACCAGGCCCUUAAAGAAUUUCUAAAGGAAGAAACUGGACUACAGAGUGAUCCAUAUGGCUACUUAUGCAAGGUCAUAGAGACUAACUACAGCAGAGGUGCUAUUUGAGCUGUGGACUUUGGAGCCAAUCCUUGGAACUACCUUUGGAAACUUGCUCUACUUAACAAGACAUUCUUUGUUUGGCUUCCUAGGGAAGAUGGUCUGUACUACUGGGUUCUGAAUCAGUGAGUUUACUAAAUAUACAGCAAGCAAACAUAAAAUAAUCAAUAGUGAUUCAUGGACAGAGAAGUAGUUAAUAGCAAAACAACAUCUAAGCAUGCACUCACAAUUGCCCAACAGAAACCAACUCUGGAAGUUGAGCCAGUCAGCUGUAGCUUCUGAUCGAGAGUCUUGGAUAGGAGGUCCUCUGUCCUUUCCAUUCAUUAUCUUCCCAUGGCUUAUACACAGGUUUUCCUGUCUUAAUUCUGUGCAUUUUUGAAUCAUGAAAUAAACUAUUUUAA